UACGAAGGGGGCUAGCGUUACUCGGAAUUACUGGGCGUAAAGGGCGCGUAGGCGGCGUUCCAAGUCAGGCGUGAAAGCCCUGGGCUCAACCUGGGGACUGCGCUUGAUACUGGAGUGCUUGAGGAUGGAAGAGGGUUGUGGAAUUCCCAGUGUAGAGGUGAAAUUCGUAGAUAUUGGGAAGAACACCGGUGGCGAAGGCGGCAACCUGGUCCAUUUCUGACGCUGAGGCGCGAUAGCGUGGGGAGCAAAC
rnacentral:rRNA from 1 species